AAUGUCUCACUUCCUCUGCAAACAGGACAUGGACCUGUAUAAAAGGUCCACUGUCCCAGUCCUCCUCAUUCGAUCUUCAGGUUCCUCAACCUACCAGUCUACUCCUGAACAAGGCUCGUCCUUCCUUAUCAGCAAUGGGCAACUGUUCAUACGGUAGUGGCCAAAACCAGCCAUCAGUCAUGUGUAUGCCUUUGUCAUGUGGCGGUGGUGGUGGCUGCUGCCAGCCCUGCUGUGGCCAAUCCUGCGGCGGUGGCGGCUGCCUCUAUUUAGUCAGUAUGGGACGUAGCGGUGGUGGAUGUUGCGGCGGAUGUUGCGGCGGUGGCGGAUAUUAAAGCUCCGGAAUUGAACCUCUAUGAGGUCCGGCAUGGACAUUCCAACAGCCAGAACCAUCUCACUGUCAACGACAGCCACCUUGAGGACCUGUCCGAUGACCAUCUUCCUUUCCUUGUUGGCCAGUCAAAACCGUGAAGAAGCUUUGUGCCGGCCUCUUGCACAAAACAUCCCCCUUCUCUAUGUAUUUCCUUUUGCUUUUUGCUUUUUGCCAAACUGAUUCCACAAAGUCCUGAGAAACAAAAAGAGAUGUGACGGAUUGCGUUGGAAACAUGGGUGUGGGUCUCCUUCUCCUCUCCCUGGGCUAUGGAAAUCCCCAGGUUCUUCCUUUAAUAAAUGAAAUGCUGAAAUGAUAA